rnacentral:rRNA from 1 species
AUUUGAUCUAAAUCAGGCGGGA